rnacentral:rRNA from 1 species
CCUACGGGAGGCAGUAGUGGGGAAUAUUGGGCAAUGGGCGCAAGCCUGACCCAGCAAUGCCGCGUGAAGGAAGACGGCUUUCGGGUUGUAAAAUUCUUUGACAGGGGAAGAGCAGAAGACGGUACCCUGAAAACAAGCCACGGCUAACUACGUGCCAGCAGCCGCGGGAAUACGAAGGUGGCAAGCGUUGUCCGGAUUUACUGGGUGUAAAGGGCGUGUAGCCGGGAAGGCAAGUCGGAUGUGAAAUCUGGAGGCUCAACCUCCAAAUUGCAUUUGAAACUGUUUUUCUUGAGUACUGGAGAGGCAGACGGAAUUCCUUGUGUAGCGGUGAAAUGCGUAGAUAUAAGGAGGAACACCAGUGGCGAAGGCGGUCUGCUGGACAGCAACUGACGGUGAGGCGCGAAAGCGUGGGGAGCAAACAGGAUUAGAUACCCCUGUAGUC